rnacentral:rRNA from 1 species
UGUUAAUACCUUAUAUAUAAUAUUUUUUUUUUAAAUAUUAAUAUGUAAGAUUAACAUAAUUCAUAUUUUUAAGACUGAAUUUUUAGUUUUGAUAAUAUGAAAUUUUACUUUGAGAAAAUUAGAGUGCUUAAAGCAGGCUUUUGCCUUGAAUACUCCAGCAUGGAAUAAUAAUAAAAGAUUUUUAUCUUUUUUUUAUUGGUUCUAAGAUAAAAAUAAUGAUUAAUAGGGACAGUUGGGGGCAUUUGUAUUUAACAGUCAGAGGUGAUAUUCUUAGAUUUGUUAAAGACAAACUAAUGCGAAAGCAUUUGCCAAGGAUGUUUUCAUUAAUCAAGAACGAAAGUUAGGGGAUC